rnacentral:ncRNA from 14 species
GGGGUGUAGCUCAGUUGGUAGAGCGCGUGCUUAGCAUGCACGAGGUCGUCAGUUCGAUUCUGGCCUCCUCC